CCCUGCCUUUUGUACACACCGCCCGUCGCUCCUACCGAUUCGAGUGUUUCGACGAAUUCUUCAGAUGCCGUUCGCAAGAAUAGCAAAAGUUGUGUAAGUCAUAACACUUAGAGGAAGGGUAAGGCGUAACAAGG
rnacentral:rRNA from 1 species